GCCCACAAAAGGAGGGAAAUGGAAGUUGUGUGUGAGUGCUUCUAAGUUGUAAAUAAUGUUGUCAAAUUGUUACAUUGAUCUCUCCAUGUGUGAUUUAAUACUUUUCUUUAUGGCAUAUCAUAUAGAGUAAGAAAAGCGUUUUCAUGUAUAAUCACCUCAGUUAGCAGAUCAGUCGGGAUUGGAAAAACGUAUCUCUGUUAAGAGUGAACUCUCAGCUUGCUUGCUUGCUUGUUUUACUCGGCAACAUUUCUAAGACUGUUCCGUCAUUGAGGAUUGCAGUGAAAACCUCAGGAGUAGCAGAGUGGUUUCCGACACUUGAAUAUCCAGAAAACUACUUUAAGAAUCCCAUAAGAAGGAACACAUCUAUGGAUUAUGUAUCAUGUUCUUCGUCACACGAAAUGUUGUAUCAGCUUGCAGUUCUUACUUGCAGACAUGGUUUGUCGAAAGCCUUCAUCUUGACGACCUACCAAACGUUUGAUUGGAUCUGCAUCAUUUCUUAAGGAAGCCCAAUACAGACACCUGAAUCCAUCACCAGUCAGCAGCAGCCACCCGACUAUAAAUUUGAGCUUGAUGAGUAACAUAUUUAUGCAAAAGAGCCAUCCUGUUGUUGGAAAUUCCUCUACAAGAUGGGGAAGAAAUGUGAACCCAUCGAUAGUGAUAUGGGUCUUUCGUGGAUCCCACCCAAGUCCGACCUGAUAUAAUCUGGUGUAGGUGAAGCUUAUUUUGCUCAUCGCGGAGAAGCUGGAACCGUAGCAGACAUCAUAAAAGGUGAAACCGGAGGAAACAGAGAAGAAACUUGAUUCUGAGAACUCCUCGCAGGAUUUGGGUUCAAUGCUAUCCGAGUGUCCCAGAUUCCCUCCAUGCAUGUGAGUCCAAGGCAAACUGCUGUAGAUUGCAUUGAGCAAUCAACAUCAACGACUCCAUCUCCCUCAAGGCCCUACUCGAAACCUAGCAGCAGCAGCAGACAUGAUUAGAGUGCUCAGUUCACAACCCUUAUUCCUGUGGGCUAUGCCUCUGUCCCCAUGAGCAAAGUGCCAAGCUGAUACCACAGCAAGCUCCAAGAUGAACACUUUGUACCGAGAGAAGGAAAAGGUCAAUGAAAUGAGAGCCACCCAGCCUCAACCACACUGCUGCACUUGGAGCUGUUCCAGUGUCCUCCGAAAGGACAACUACUCAUGAAUGGUCUUUUGUUCUCAUCCACGGAGCUACUGUUCCCUCUCUGACUUGUGAAAGGGACUUGGCCUUCGUCUCUCCCCUUCCCACGGGGUAGAUGACCUCAUGCACUCUCGGGAGUUCAUCGGGAAGUGUUUCACUCGGAGAUUCCACUGCUGCUUCUCAACGAUCCAUUUGAGUUCAUCAUGACCAUAUUCAGCAGGAAUGUGAUUGGAAAUUGUGAAAGCUGGGGGAAGCCUGUUGAUUGCAACAUUGCGGGAAACAAGCUCUCAUCUCUAAUUGUCCAUCAACCCCGAGAGGUGAAAUCAUUCUACUGGUGUUAGCAAAAUGAGGAUGCGAUUUACGUCUUGUCGAUGUUUUUUAGCGUCUCAGGAAACUGUGGAAUAUGUGCCUGCACUGUACUGCAAGCCGUAGUUCACGAGAACACCUUCGGUUCACAUGCUUCCCACCUUCAUUUCGGUCCUAUUAUCGAAUACCUCCUGUUAAGAUCUAUU